CAAGCGUUGUUCGGAAUUACUGGGCGUAAAGGGCGCGUAGGCGGCCUGCUAAGUCACACGUGAAAUCCCUCGGCUCAACCGGGGAACUGCGCGUGAUACUGGCGGGCUUGAAUUCGGGAGAGGGAUGUGGAAUUCCAGGUGUAGCGGUGAAAUGCGUAGAUAUCUGGAGGAACACCGGUGGCGAAGGCGGCAUCCUGGACCGAGAUUGACGCUGAGGCGCGAAAGCUAGGGGAGCAAACGGG
rnacentral:rRNA from 1 species